UGGCAGUGGCAGUGGUACAGC
rnacentral:siRNA from 1 species